GACGAACGCUGGCGGCGUGCCUAAUACAUGCAAGUAGGACGCAGUCGCGAACGGGUGAGUAACGCGUAGGUAACUACCGAUGAGAGGGGGCUAAAUACUGGAAACGAUAGCUAAUACCGCAUACUAGUAGAAGGACCUGCGUUGUAUUAGCUAGUAGGUGGGGUAAUGGCCUACCUAGGCAACGAUACAUAACCGACUUUAGAGGGUGUACCGCCCCUAUGGGACUGAGGAAAGGCCCCGACUCCUGCGGUGUGCAACCGUGGGGAAUCAUCGGCAAUUGGGGGAACCCUGACCGAGCAAAGCCGCGUGAGUGAAGGAAGUUUUCGGAUCGUAAAGCUCUGUUGUUCAGGAAGCGGUACUUAACGAGAAAGGGACGGCUAACUACGUGCCAGCAGCCGCGGUAAUAC
rnacentral:rRNA from 1 species